ACAAACAACAAGCAUAUUUGGAGAAACAACGCGUACAGAUUGAGGAAACAAAAAGACAUAAAUGGUUCCGUGACUGCCAGGACUACACUAAUGGACAUGUUUAUACUUGGGAAAAUACCGUAUCUACUUACAAAAGAUUUCAAAAGAGAAAUGAGACAGACAUAGAAGAUGGAACAGUAAGACAAGAACAACAAGGACAUAACCGACAAAACAAGCAGAAUCCUUUUUUAGUGCAUAUGCCGCCCGUCGGGGGCGGCCAAGAAGAGGAGGGCGCAAACACCAACGAGGUCGCAAAAACCAGAGCACAGAAGUCGGGUCGUACCCAACAGCACAAGCAAACUCAACAACAAAGGAAGAAGUAACACCAAAAAAAGCAGAGACUGUGACCACUUACACACCGGGUACUUGCCAUGAUGCCGUCCACCAAUUCGGAGUUUACUCCAUAUCUAUCAUUGGAUUUCAUACUGGACUAUACAAUCUAUCCAUUCACCUUUCCUCUUCUCAUUAUGCGAUAAUUUUCAUCCAGUUUUACUACCUAGAGCGCACAGUUGGUACCGAUACACGCACAGUGAUCUGGAGCAUGGGAUCGGUUCACAUACACCGACAGCUCAACGAAAUAUGAUGGUUGACAGGACCUGUGGUCGGUUCAAACACACCGACAGGACAAAUAUGCCAAGAUGUCUAUCCUAUCUAGGAGACUUGCGUGUGCUCAUAAAUAAGGGAUGCCCACUCCUCUCCUUUUUUUCUUUAUGCCUCUGUGUGGAUACCUGUUGCCAAGGACAACGACAGACGGAACAGGUCCCCCCACUCUCUUUUUUUCCCUAUGGGGAUUUCACAUUCUCUUCCUCACAACAACACCCACGAAUGGUGAAUAGACUUACUAAUUACUCACCUCAGAAAAAGCCCCGCAUGGAUACGCUCAUCGCUCACUACCUCUGAAGCUGCUGAGUAGUCCCAGUUGCAAGGUCGCUAAGGUACGGACGCACUGGUUGCCAAGGACGCGACUCACAGUACGCAUGAGCAGCUCAUUCUCUACAUUCCACAGGCCCAUUACGCAUGCGCUAAUGACGGAGAGAGGUUUCCAUGGUAGCAAUGACGUCAUUUAGACGCCGCUACCUCCUCUCAACCCGGAAGCGUUGCUAACAGCCGCGAAUCUCUUCAGUAUCACGCUGGAUCGGCGUCUCUGCAACACAGGCAUCAUGGCGAGGAAACCGGAAGCAUUUCACGUCUACACGCCCCUGCAUGUAUACUUAUGUUAUUUUCACACUUUAUAUGAUCAGUAUCUAAUCUCUGAUCACUGUAUUACAUGUAUAUACACUUUGAUACUUUAUACGUUAUGUAAUGUUCAAGAUAUUCACUGUGAUUUUGUAUGCACCUGGUUUACUUAUGUAAAUUGUUUUGCUAAUUAUGUCACAUG